GACGAACGCUGGCGGCGUGCUUAACACAUGCAAGUCGAACGGAAAGGCCCUGCUUUUGUGGGGUGCUCGAGUGGCGAACGGGUGAGUAACACGUGAGUAACCUGCCCUUGACUUUGGGAUAACUUCAGGAAACUGGGGCUAAUACCGGAUAGGAGCUCCUGCUGCAUGGUGGGGGUUGGAAAGUUUCGGCGGUUGGGGAUGGACUCGCGGCUUAUCAGCUUGUUGGUGGGGUAGUGGCUUACCAAGGCUUUGACGGGUAGCCGGCCUGAGAGGGUGACCGGCCACAUUGGGACUGAGAUACGGCCCAGACUCAUACGGGAGGCAGCAGUGGGGAAUAUUGCACAAUGGGCGGAAGCCUGAUGCAGCAACGCCGCGUGCGGGAUAACGGCCUUCGGGUUGUAAACCGCUUUCGCCUGUGACGAAGCGUGAGUGACGGUAAUGGGUAAAGAAGCACCGGCUAACUACGUG
rnacentral:rRNA from 1 species